rnacentral:rRNA from 1 species
CAGCAGUAGGGAAUAUUGGGCAAUGGCCCGAGAGGCUGACCCAGCCAUGCCGCGUGCAGGAAGAAGGCCUUCUGGGUUGUAAACUGCUUUUAUCAGGGAAGAAAACGCUCCUGCGGGAGUAACUGACGGUACCUGAUGAAUAAGCACCGGCUAACUCCGUGCCAGCAGCCGCGGUAAUACGGAGGGUGCAAGCGUUGUCCGGAUUUAUUGGGUUUAAAGGGUGCGUAGGCGGCCCGUUAAGUCCGUGGUGAAAUCCCAGGGCUCAACCCUGGAACUGCCAUGGAUACUGGCGGGCUUGAGUUCGGUCGAGGCGGGCGGAACUGGUGGUGUAGCGGUGAAAUGCAUAGAUACCACCAAGAACCCCGAUUGCGUAGGCAGCUCGCUAGGCCGAAACUGACGCUGAGGCACGAAAGCGUGGGGAGCGAACAGGAUUAGAUACCCUGGUAGUCCACGCCGUAAACGAUGAGUACUCGAUGUUGGCGAUACACAGCCAGCGUCCAAGCGAAAGCGUUAAGUACUCCNCCUGGGGAGUACGCCCGCAAGGGUGAA